rnacentral:rRNA from 1 species
UACGAAGGGGGCUAGCGUUGUUCGGAUUUACUGGGCGUAAAGCGCACGUAGGCGGAUCUUUAAGUCAGAGGUGAAAUCCCAAGGCUCAACCUUGGAACUGCCUUUGAUACUGGGGAUCUCGAGUCCGGGAGAGGUGAGUGGAACUGCGAGUGUAGAGGUGAAAUUCGUAGAUAUUCGGAAGAACACCAGUGGCGAAGGCGACUUACUGGACACAUAUUGACGCUGAGGUGCGAAAGCGUGGGGAGCAAACAGG